GGGCAACAUAAAUCUUCCAAAAAGACAUGGCGCAUUCACGAAGAAACAUGCUAGUGCAGUCUCAUCACCCAAUCCAACAUGGCUGCUUCCUUUUCAUCCUUUUAUUCUCUUCCAUUAUUUCUAUCAAUAUUCGUGCAUGCAAUUGCACUCUGUCUUUUCCUCCACCUUUUAAUCGAUCUGACGAAGCCCCUGAGCUAUUCGGGAUCACCGCUAAACAUGGUAUUCGGGCCUUCGUUCGGGUCCCCAAGGAAAUUGUGUACACCGGACGUGGGAACACCGCCGGUGGUGGGAUCAUAGCAUAAUGGCAAUGAAAUGCUUGGGAGUUUUUCCAAGUGGAUAUCGACUAUGGAGCUAGUCUUUUCUGCAAUUGACAGUUUACCAGGAGAUUCAUCCCACAUGGGGACGCUUUGAAGCCUAGUGGAACUUCUUUUCGUGCGUGGACUUGGAAAGGCUAAUUGGGUUCAUAACUGCCUAAGAAUUUGGUUAACUUUCUAUUAUUGACUCUUGCGUUAAUUAAAUCACAUGGUGUAAUUUAACUAAAUUAAAAAUUGAUGAUAUGUCCGGUGGAUGUUGUAUCAUUUGUGAUCCAAAUUUAGUGCACAAUUUUGAUAUAUAUUAUUAGCAAUAUUGAAAACAUAUAUAUUGUUUUAAUUGUCGUGCAUAUUCUAAAUUUUUGGAGUAUCGUAUUCGGUACAACAAAAGAAGGGAAUAUUAUAAACCAAUUGUUUUAGCGCAAAAUUGAGUAUACUAUGUCAUCUCUUUGAAGGUACUUGGCUAUGAGUAGCUUUAUAGAUGAAAUCUCAAAAUCGGGAAAAAGAAAAACCAAAUUUAGCCAGGCAGCUCACAUAAAUUCCAUGAAAUUUGUUUUUCUUUUUUUCUUUUUUUUUCUUUUUUUAAGAAAUUUUGGGAUUGCAGUCAUAAUUCAACCAAAAAAAGCCACUAGUUACA